rnacentral:rRNA from 1 species
GAGUUUUGAUCCUGGCUCAGGAUGAACGCUAGCUACAGGCUUAACACAUGCAAGUCGAGGGGAAACGAGUAUUGGAAGCUUGCUUCCGAUAGGCGUCGACCGGCGCACGGGUGAGUAACGCGUAUCCAACCUGCCCACCACUUGGGGAUAACCUUGCGAAAGUAAGACUAAUACCCAAUGAUAUCUCUAGAAGACAUCUGAAAGAGAUUAAAGAUUUAUCGGUGAUGGAUGGGGAUGCGUCUGAUUAGCUUGUUGGCGGGGUAACGGCCCACCAAGGCGACGAUCAGUAGGGGUUCUGAGAGGAAGGUCCCCCACCAUUGGAACUGAGACACGGUCCAAACUCCUACGGGAGGCAGCA